UGAAAAGCGUAAACGCGAAGGACGGUCCUACUGGCCCCUCUGAGGUCUUACUUGGACCCCACCCCAACUGCCACCACAGCAACGGACGAGCACCACCGUGCAGCAGGGAGAUGUCAUCAGGCAGAGCCCGCCAGACACCAGCGUCGAUGCUAGGCUGAUUGCCGCUCUUCGACAAGUCAGUUUCUGUGCCGGCCCAUAUGGGCCAGCGACAACAGGCGUGGGUUGAGGUGGCGUUGGCGUGUGGGAAGUCACCUAACUUCAGCCUGUAAGAAGCGGUGGUCUAAUCUGCGUCACAAAUACGUACGGGAGCUGGCCAAGGGAGACUCCGUUUGGCACAGGAUGGUGGAGAUGCGGUUUUUGUUCCGCACCUGCGCAACAGGCAACGCGCGAGCUACCCAGUGGAGAAUGAGGUGCAUGAGUUGACUGCUGAGUUUGGAGAGGUAAGCCUGGUGCCCCCAGGCAGCCCAAUAAACCGAGCGACUGACGCGAAUCCCCGCCAGUGGACACAGACCCUAUCAGCCCCACUAUGUCGUUCCAGGAAUGGCUGAAGGCGACUUUUCGCCUCAUGCAGAGCGUGGUGGAUAGGGAAGAGUUGGAUUCAUCCUUCCUGAGCUCGGAUAGGAGCUCAAAUCAAGAACAGCAGCAGCAACAACAACAACAGCAAGAAGGCAACGAAAUUGCAUAAUUAUGUAAUAUAUAUCGGUAUAUUGGGCCCCAAUAAUUGGGUCAUAAAAUAAUAAAAAAAAAUUUAAUUUUUAAA